UGCCAGACUCCUACGGGAGGCAGCAGUGGGGAAUAUUGCACAAUGGGGGAAACCCUGAUGCAGCGACGCCGCGUGAGCGAUGAAGUAUUUCGGUAUGUAAAGCUCUAUCAGCAGGGAAGAAAAUGACGGUACCUGACUAAGAAGCCCCGGCUAACUACGUGCCAGCAGCCGCGGUAAUACGUAGGGGGCAAGCGUUAUCCGGAUUUACUGGGUGUAAAGGGAGCGUAGACGGCUGUGCAAGCCAGAUGUGAAAGCCCGGGGCUCAACCCCGGGACUGCAUUUGGAACUGUGUGGCUGGAGUGUCGGAGAGGCAGGCGGAAUUCCUAGUGUAGCGGUGAAAUGCGUAGAUAUUAGGAGGAACCCCAGUGGCGAAGGCGGCCUGCUGGACGAUGACUGACGUUGAGGCUCGAAAGCGUGGGGAGCAAACAGGAUUAGAUACCCUCGUAC
rnacentral:rRNA from 1 species